CUUCGAGGCAGGAACACAGCUGUCCCUCACACUGAAGACAGCACUCUUUAGCCUGCUGGGGAGACUCCUGGGGAUGGUGCCACCCGCUAUGGACUGGGUUCUCCCUCGUCAAUCAUCAGCCAAGAGAAUUCCUCACAGACAUGGCCAUGGGUCAAUUUGAUAAAGUUACAGGAGCUAGGAAACACACAUGGCUGGAAAACUGUAAUCCUCAUCGUAGACGCCUGUUAGAAGAGAAUAAGGAAAACCGAGCUGAUUCCAUCAGGGGUUGCUGGUCUUGCUGUGCUCUGGGUCUGGACAUCCAUGCUCUGGUAUCCGUUAGAAGCUGGACAUUUCCAUGAAAUGGACGCUUCUGUUCUCUGGCCACCUGGAACAAGACCAGUCCUAAGAAGGAAAGAAGAAUGUGGGACACGGGCCUUAGGCUGGAGUGUGGAGAAAUCGCUGCCUCCUUUCCCUGAUUCAGGAUUUGGGGGAAUCAAGAACAUUCCCAUUUUAGGGAGGUGGCUGGCCCUUGC